GGGAAAAACCCAAAAGGCGUUCUAAGAGGGCCCCCAACGGGAUUGGGUGUGGGGGGGGAAAAGGUCUCACUGGGGGGCGAUUUUUUGAGGGUUUGGAGGGAGAAUUAGCCCCCUGGGACGAGACCCCCGCCCCCACUCCUUCGGGGAGCCGCCGUUGGGAAUAUUUCACCCAGGGGGGGAAACCUGAAGCAACCCACCGGGGUGUGAAGAAAGCCUUCCGGGUGUUAAGCACUUCGGAGGGGAAGAACCAAUGACGUUUACCUCAGAAGAAGCACCGGCUAAAUUCGUGCCAGCAGCCGCCGUAAUACGGAGGGGUGCAAGCGUUAAUUGGAAAUAAACUGGGCGUAAAGGGGCAUGCAGGGCGGUCGGACAAGUAGGGAUGUGAAAUCCUGGGGCUCAACCUCAGAACUGCAUUCCAAACUGUUCGACUAGAGUAUUGCAGGGGGAGACGGAAUUUCAGGUGUAGCGGUGGAAUGCGUAGAUAUCUGAAAGAACACCAAUGGCGAAGGCAGUCUCCUGGGCAAAUACUGACGCUCAUAUGCGAAAGCGUGGGUAGCAAACAGGAUUAGAUACCCUGGUAGUCCACGCCGUAAACGAUGUCAAUUAGGAGCUUGGACUUAAGUCUGGGUUCCGUAGCAAACGCAAUAAAU
rnacentral:rRNA from 1 species